rnacentral:rRNA from 1 species
GGAAGUAAAAGUCGUAACAAGGUUUCCGUAGGUGAACCUGCGGAAGGAUCAUUCAUAAUAAGUGUUUUAUGGCACUUUUUAAAUCCAUAUCCACCUUGUGUGCAAUGUCAGGGUUGAGUUUCUUUCGAGAGACUCGACCCCAAACAUCAACUAUAAUCUCAACUCUUUGUCUGAAAAAUAUUAUGAAUAAAACAAUUCAAAAUACAACUUUCAACAACGGAUCUCUUGGCUCUCGCAUCGAUGAAGAACGCAGCGAAAUGCGAUACGUAAUGUGAAUUGCAGAAUUCAGUGAAUCAUCGAAUCUUUGAACGCAUAUKGCGCUCUUUGGUAUUCCGAAGAGCAUGCUUGUUUGAGUAUCAGUAAACACCUCAAAGCCUUUUUUUGUUAAGAGACUUUGGACUUGAGCAAUCCCAACACUUUAUUACUAAAGUGGCGGGUUGCUUGAAAUGCAGGUGCAGCUGGACAUUCUCCUGAGCUAAAAGCAUAUUCAUUUAGUCCCGUCAAACGGAUUAUUACUUUUGCUGCAGCUAAUAUAAAGGGAGUUUGACCAUUUUGGCUGACUGAUGCAGGAUUUUCACAAGAGUCUUCAAACCACUCUUGUUAAACUCGAUCUCAAAUCAAGUAAGACUACCCGCUGAACUUAAGCAUAUCAUA